rnacentral:rRNA from 1 species
AUUGAACGCUGGCGGCAGGCCUAACACAUGCAAGUCGAACGGUAGCACAGAGAGCUUGCUCUCGGGUGACGAGUGGCGGACGGGUGAGUAAUGUCUGGGAAACUGCCCGAUGGAGGGGGAUAACUACUGGAAACGGUAGCUAAUACCGCAUAACGUCGCAAGACCAAAGUGGGGGACCUUCGGGCCUCACACCAUCGGAUGUGCCCAGAUGGGAUUAGCUAGUAGGUGGGGUAAUGGCUCACCUAGGCGACGAUCCCUAGCUGGUCUGAGAGGAUGACCAGCCACACUGGAACUGAGACACGGUCCAGACUCCUACGGGAGGCAGCAGUGGGGAAUAUUGCACAAUGGGCGCAAGCCUGAUGCAGCCAUGCCGCGUGUAUGAAGAAGGCCUUCGGGUUGUAAAGUACUUUCAGCGGGGAGGAAGGCGGUGAAGUUAAUAACUUCACCGAUUGACGUUACCCGCAGAAGAAGCACCGGCCAACUACGUGCCAGCAGCCGCAGUAA